GACAGAGCAAAAAAAACAAGGCAUCAGUAUUGUUGAGUAUUAGCUUGUACCUGGUUCGGAGACUAAGUAAGUAUUUACCUUCCAGUUUGGGGCUGGGGGCUGGGGGCUGCGCGAUCUGAAAACUGGAUCUCUCUUCCCUUCCCUCACAAAUAUUGGAGGGCCCAAGUUCCAAGGCCUAGUGGAAGGGGAGGGACUCGUAUCCCCUUUUCCAUCCUCGGAACUUGCAGAAGUUGCCCGUGGCCGGCAUCGUGCCGUGCCGUCUGCCUCCUUUCCAGCCCAGCCUGCUGUUUUUGACUCUCUUAUCCGAGCACCCUUUGGCUCUGCGCCCUGGAGCUGUGACAGUGAGGUUCUGGGGGCUCCCCUGAGUUGGCCCGGCGUCUUUUGUCAUACGUUAGGCUGGGGCCCAGCCGGGCCUUUCUUAUGAAGAGAGAGAGAGCACAAGAAAGCACCCCCCCCCAACCCCGCCCCGCGAUGCCUGGGUAUCUCGGGUGUUUCUCCUUGCGAAGGCCCAGGCUCAGGCUGAGGGUUUGUCCUCUGGCUGGGUCCGAGAUCACUGGAGUUUCAGGCCAGAACUCGAUGGCCUUGGGGGCUCCGGGAAGAUGUGGGGAGGGGGAGAUCCAGGGCGCACGAAUCUUCCCGAAACCAACUAAGAAGUGACGUUCACCAUGUCUCUGCCUUCCUCGACCGCACUUUCUAGAUCCUGGGUCAGCCAGUCGGCGGCUGCGGUGAGUAGGUGGUGAGGCCAAGGAGGGAUGCUGGAGUUGGUGUGGGCGCUGUUUGCUAGGGCCAGGCUUCUGAGUUGUGUGUGCAAGUUUGAUCCUUCAUAGGAGGCAGGAAGAGCCCUUUCUCGAGGCUCUGAGGGUGUGGGGGAUGUCCCAGGGCUGUGUAGGGGGGAGUAUGAAUCUGGUGGGGAAAGGAGAGGGCCAUCUCAAGGGGCCAACCCGGCAACUCUGACCCGGGUGCUCUAAGUUAGGGAGGUGGGUGGGCAAGGUGGGGUUUUUUCCUUCCUGCUCUAGGAAAGAGGGCUGAUGGGGUUUGUAGGUCAUGGGCCCAAGGGCUGGGAGGCAGAGGAGUGUGUGUGUGUGUGUUCGCCAAGACUUGGUGGUGUGUGUAUUUGGGUGCAUCUGCUGGUUUGUUAGUAUAUACCUGCUGUUGGAGAAUCAUGUUGUUGCCUCUGUUUACAGUUACUCAGGUAUUAAUCAUAUGUAUACAUUUUGGCAUGUGUAUUUUUUGUGUGUUUAUAUCUGUGGAUAAUUCUGCUAAUGUUUGUGCACAUUAGUCCAUGUGCUCCCAUUUUUAUUGAUCAGUGUGUAUUUGUGUUUACGUACUUGCAGCCACACGAUUGUGAUAGGGUUUACUUGCGGGAGUGUGCAGGUAAGAAUAUUUGUAUAGGUGUGUGCUCACACUGAUGUGAAAGUGGACUUUAAAAAAAUCUGAAUUGUGUGUUUGCGUGCAAGUGAGUGUAUGUGUAUGUAACUGAGCUGGGCUGGGUGUGUUUGUGAGUGUGGAAUUUUGUGGAACCAUGUUUGUAGGGCAGUUUUGCUGUGUGUGUGUGUAUGUCUGCAAGUGUAUUUCUAUGAAUUGCAGUAUUUUUUGUUUAUGUGACUCCUAUAGUUUUCUUGGGGGCGGGAGGAGGGGUAUGAUUGUGUGUGUACUUCUGGCAGUGCUUGCCUUUGUGGACUUGAAGGGAGGCAGGAUUUGUGGAUGCCGUUAUUGGGGCAGUUGGUGGAACCACUGAGAUGCUUGUUUCUCUUCCCCCCUCCCCCCAGUUCUUGUCCUCAUAGUCCUCGGUCUCUACAGGAAGUGAUUGUGCUGUGGACAGAGAGUUGACAGGUGCUGGUCACUGGGUGGUGCAUUGACCCACAAGCUGGGCUUCUGAAAAGGAGUCCCCAAACUGGGCAGCUUCCACUAUUACUUCUUCCUCCAGCUUGCCGAGCAAGGGACCUAUGUCUACACUGCUUAGAGAUGUGGCUGGUUGGAGCCAGGUUCAGCCAGGAGCAAGCAGGCUGGAUCUCCUGGCCAGGAGAGCUCCAGGAGCCCCAAGUGAAAUCGUAGCUUCUGGCAGCACCUGGUUUCGGAGCAUGAAGGGUCCUUGCGCUCCAGCAGGACAGGGACAGAACAAAACAAGGACUCACCUUUUUUCCUCCUCCUUGCUGAGAGGAACGAGACAUCCAGGCUCCAGGUGGAGGUGAAUUGCACUGACUACUUGGUCUUUGUCUCACUGGGGUUUUUCUCUCUCUCCUGAGCUCCCUCCAUACAGUUUCCUUUCUGUCUGUUUCUUCCGUUUAGCCUCUGUUCUCUUUCUGUUUCCCUUUCCUUCUGUUUCCCCAUCACUUUCUUUCUUGAUUUCUCUCUCUGUUUUUAUUUCCCUGCCUCUGCCUCUCUGCUGGGCAUCCAAAUCCAGCAUCUGGCUUAAAGCUGUGAAGAAGGCUUCUCCUAGUGCACCCUGCAGAUUUUCGGGUGCAUGUGGAACUCCCAUACAGUCAUUAAAACCCCCCAUCUAGAUGAAUGUCUUCUUCCCUGCUCUGGAAUAGGUGCACUGGGCUUGCCCUCCCCUCCCCACAAUAGGUACCUCAAGAGCCAGUUCUGCUGUGUCUUUCCAGCCUCAGUUCUGCCCACUGUGUUGGCUGUUGGAUGCCUGUGUUCCAGGCUCCAUCUAGGACAUAUCCACCACCCUCACCUCCUGGAUGUGCUUAAAUGGCAACACGCAGCCUGGCCCCAGUGGCUGCCAUGCCAGGCCAGGGAGGUGGAGGAACAUGGGCAGAGUCUCAGAACGCAGCCCUAGGUCCCCCCAGAGCCUGGAUGUGGUGAGUCACCCGAAGCUGGCUGCCCAGUGGCAGGAGAUGAAGGCUCCACUUCCAGAAGCCCUGGCCUGGCCUUCUGCCUCUUGUAGCUGAGUUUACCCAUCCUGUCCAGGUCACAGCCCCUUGGAAUCACCCUGGGAGCCUCAGCACAGCCCACCCUCAAUCCAGAACCCCCUCACUCCAGCUCAGCCUCAGGGAUCAUGCUUGGCCUUCACCAGCCCUCCACCUUCCAGGGCACACAGUCUCCGAAGGG
rnacentral:lncRNA from 1 species